UGGGUAAUUUGAACUGUCAUUCGUGAUGUGAAUGAAACUGAACUGUUACAUUGCAUUCUGAGAAGAAUUCAAGAGAGGAACUGAGAAGUUCUCUUGGUGUUCUUUGUUUAUUCUGACUUGGACAAUUGGUCUUACAGGUAUGUAUCAGCUCUUUAUAUAUUCUAAAUGUCAGAAUGUUUUCUGAUACAAUCACAUCAGAACUUUUU
rnacentral:lncRNA from 1 species